rnacentral:lncRNA from 1 species
GGACAAGAUGGCCGCCUAAGUAAUUAUAGGUGUGCAAACAACAAUUCCAUCCUCGUUAACCCAAACCCAAACACGAUCGCACCUGAAGUCUCUUGUCACCGGAGUUCCCACCAACAACACAAUGGCAUUCACGUUCGGAUUUUCCUUCUCCACUAUUUCUGCUGCUGCUAGUCCAUCUUCUCCCACCAGUUCCGGCCAUGAAUUUUUACCUGAUAUUGCAGUUCAAAUAAAUUAACCAUAAGAUAUAGCAGGAAAUAAAUAUAUAAACCAGCUUCUAACAUGAGAAGGACGUAUGUUAUUAUGUGCCAUGAUAAAUAUUAUACCUUCACAUAUGGAUUCCAUCAGCGUUGCUUCACAUCCGGAGCUCAUAAUGUCCAUUUGCCUUGCUCGCAGAAUUGAACGAAAUGUGAGUUGAAAUAUAGAUGUGAUUCUUUUGUAAGCAAAAAAAUCGAACUUAUUUCAACAGUAGCUGCCCAUGCUACUAUUUAUAUAGAUUUAUUCGGGUCUGAUGGAAAACGUGGCUCUGUAAACUAGUACCAGCUGUCAGGGAUUUUAAUUCUGCAUGUUUGUUCUGUGCUAUUAAAAGGAUGUGGUUCUUAUGCCACGACUAUGGGCUGCGUUUAUCUUGAGAUAGGCAUCAACAUAUAGCAGGUUGCUCAGUACCACAUAUACGCUGUGGUACUCCUGAAAUGAAAAUUGCUGGUUUGGAGUAUGCAGUAGAUAUUUGUUUGGUAAGGCCUAAUGGAGUACUGUCAUAGUGUAUAAUCAAGAUAAGCAUUAGCUGCCCAGGACUUCAUACAUUUGAGAACACAUCUCAGCCUUAUAAUUCAGACUCGGCUCCGUCGGAUUUCUAUCUAAACUUCUGUAUUCAACAUAGAAAUCAAGCACCCUAUUUAUUUCGUUUUGUAUGAAAGAGGGAACCUGAUAACCUUCUCCGCCGAACACUAUAGUGAGAAUUUUUAUUUUUUUAUUUUUUUUUGAAGUUUCUAUAGUGUUUGCCUACUGUCAAGUAGUGUCAAGGCCAACACUAACUUGAAAUAGAACUCAUGUUAUGUUUUCCCCUGCACACCCGGUUUUGUUUGGAGUUGUGUUCUCUCUUAUCAACGGUGGACACUAUAUAAAUUUUAAAUUUCCCUUUUGAAAUUUGUCUAUAUAAAAACUGCUAGCACGCAAAAUUGGACAAUUCUUUUAUUAACGUUCAUGUAACAGUUAUAAUUUUAUUUAUUUAAACAACUAUACAUUAGAAAGAAAUUAUAUCUUUUCAUAAAUUAUUAAAUCUAACAUAAAAGAAUUUUGAAAGUGAAGCGAGAAUAAUUUUAAACUAAAAUAAAAAAAUUUGAUUUUAAAAUAUAUAAAAUAAAUUAAGUUUUCAUGCAGGUCAUGAAAUUGUUCGAUGUUAAUCUGGUAUUCUAAAAGGAACCGACAAGUUGAUUGUUAAGAAUAAUUUCAAUCAUGAUGAAAAAUCUUUCAUUGAAAAUAGAGUUCACAUAUGAACAAUAAAAUAUAUAAUAAUCACACUCCAAAUAUUGAAUAUGAUCUAAUAUCAUUUUAAGUAUAUUUGUCAUAGGACUGUUUACCUUAGUUUACGUGUUACGUGUUUUGUAGGCUAUUACAAGCUCGUGGGUUUACCCAGUGCGCAACCCAAAAGUAGCGGCUGCGUUCCUACGUUAAAUAAAAUAAAUUAAUUAAAAGUGUCGAUUAAUUUUCACUACAAGAAACUGGUCUUUCUGCGACCGCAUAUCAGCGACCGCACCCGGUAGCUAAAGGUUAUCAGCGACCGAACGCCAUCGCUGAAAGUUGUCGCAGAUAAUCUGAUCGCUGAUGUGCACUUUUGCGUCGACUUUCGACGACCGACUGGGUAGAGACAGCUUUCAGCGACCGACGUGGUCGCUAAUGUGAGUCAGCAUUAUUUUCCAAUAAUCCACGUGUCUGCGACCACAUUAGCGACCGAUCGGCAUCGCUAACCUUCAGCGACGUGGCUGUUUUCUGCGACCAGACUUUGCGACCGCUAGCGGUCGUAAAUUUCAGCCACUAAUUUUAGCUACUAACUAGACCGUCACUAAAUUUGCUACCACUAUUAGCGACCGUAAAUUGUUGCUAUUUCCGUUGUGACCAUUUUAAUUCUUGUGACGGAUGUUAGUCGCUGAAAUUUAAUAUUAGAUUUUUUUUUUCAUUUUAUAGAAUUACUAAACAAUUACACCUAUUUUGUACCUGUCUUUCCCAACAUAAUACAAACAAACAUCUUAUUUUACACACAAAUACAUAAACAUUUUUCUCACUCUAUAUAGUCAAAAUGGUAAAUAUAAAAUCCACAUAAUACUGGAAAAAUUAUAUAUGCUUGAAAAUUAUAUAAUCAAAUAUCACCAAAUCCAAAAGUGGUACAUAAAAACAAAUGUAUAAUGACACUACACUAAGAUCUUCCAUAUAAAAUCCACAUAUCAAUAUGAAAAAUUAUAUCCACUAGACAAUUUUAUGAUCGAGUAUCACCAAAUUUAAGAGAUAAAAACAUAAAUACGAUGAUACUAUCUCAAGAUUCGCCGAACUCAUCAUCUCCUGUAGUUUGUAUGAGCACAGCCCCAUUCCGAUCUCCGUGACACAGAUAUAUGAUACUCGUGAGUGCCACUGAUUACCUAUAACACAGGAGGCUUUACAACAAAGGACUAAGGAUAGAAGUUUAGCCAAAGUUCUUAAUAACAAUAUUAGUUUUGUAAGGACUAGUAUAUAAAAAAAUUGGAAAUCAAAUGAAAAAUACCUUGAGAAUAUAACGAGCAACCCACACUUGAUCAGUAGGAGAAAUGCCAACAGCUGGUCCAACUUGAAAUUCCCACUAUAAUUUUGUUUAUCAAGUUAAGAGCAUAAUUUUUGGAAGAAUUCUUUACUGCUCACUCACACCAAAUACAAAACUGUGCUGUACUGCGACCAGCAUAUAUACAAGCUCACGAUCCUGUUGAAGCUUAAAUAGUGUACUUUUUAAAAAUGCAUGUCCCCUGCAUACCUUACUUUACUUCCGAGAGGCAAACCAAGAAUAUUUGUCAGAACUUUAGCUAGUAAAAUUGCGUCAAAAAAAUACAAUACCUAUGGUCCUGGAAUCCACCAAUAGGCCAGCCAUAAGGCCAUUUCACGACCUUCUGAAGAAGUGUGUACUCCUGCUCUAUGCAAAUAUCUCGCAAAUUCUCUCGUAUAAAAAUUGUCAAGCACCCGGAACAUUCUAGAAUUGAAGUGGACGAUGAUCAAUCACUAGUUCACAGAACUAUACAACUGCAAGUGCUUCUCAGCAACAAGAUGCUAUUUUUGAGGGAAAGAAAAUGAAUCCAGGGAAAGAAAAUGAAUCCAAGCGAUAUAGUAAAAAAAAAAUUCACACCCACACCCCACAAUUCAUGAAUCCAAGUGCUAUAGUGGACAAUAAUCAGCACCGAUCGUGGAUAGUGGGAACUGCUGCAGUCCUACAGAUUCGCUGAUUGUAUAGUGGACGUCGUGUAGGUUCUGACUUCUGAGAGGGAAAGGCAAAAUACCCUUUCCUGUUUCCCUGGCAUAAAUUUUUUUAUAAUUUUGUAUGUGAUGUUUAUAAUAAUCGUAUAUCUAAUGAGUAUAAAUCAAAUAAUUUCACAUUUUAGACUAACAAAUUGAAAAAUAAUUAAACAAUGUCAAUGUAAAUUGUAUUUUAAUUAUUACGCUAUUAUUUUUAUAUUUUAUUAAUUAUUUGAAUAAAAUAUAAAUUUGUCUAAAUAUUAAUAGAAAUAUUAUAAACUUAAUUAAUAAUAUAUUGAAAAAAGAGUGGAAAGAUUAAAUAAGAAUAUACGUAGCAUUAUCACGUACAUAAAUUUUAAGGCUAUAUGAUGUUGUUUUGUCUAAUAGCUAUAAUUGCUAAUAUUGUUUAAACGAUUAAUGAAAAUUUUAAUAACAAUACACAAAUGUCGUGAAAAAUCUUAUUUUUUCAAAUAUUAAUUAAAAUAUUUUUUAAUUUAAUACAAUUUAAAAAAAUUAUAUAGCAUACAGGCACUAUCAAAUCACAUUGGGAAAAUAGAUUUUUUGCCACUCAACUUAUUAUGUUUUUAGAAAUUUGCCACUCAACUAAAUUUUUUCUCGUUUUACUCACUAAUGUUAGGUUUGGAUUUUUUUUAGUCGCCAACUUAGGUUCGGAUAUGAUUAUUAGUAUUUUGAUUUUUUUUUUUGUAGCAUCAAUUAUGCAAGAAAAAAAACCGAACCUAACAUCAGUGAUUAAAAUUAAAAAAUUUAUAGUUGGGUGGCAAGUUUCUAAAUACACAAUAAGUUGAGUGACAAAAAAAAUCUAAUUUCCCAACCACAUUACAAAAUAUACAACAACUAGUGGAAUCUAUGUGAAAAAAAAUAACUCAGCACAUACUUAUACUUUUAGAGUUAAUGUUUAAAUAUAUUGGAUAAAAAAUUAUUUUUGAUAAAAUUAAUGAAAAUAAUAUUAUAAUUUCUUUUAAAUUUAUAACAGUUUUACGAUGCCUUUAAAUUUUAGACAUAUUAUAUAUAUAGUAUAAAAUAGCUAUAGAAAUCGAAAACUCUUGCCCGGGAUAUAUGAGGAAAAUAUUUUAAUUUUUCAAAUUAUAAAUAUAUUUAUUAGAAAAAUUCAGUUUAUGAUAAAAAUAAUCUGAAAUAUUUUAUGUAAAUUAAUUUUCAAUAUAAAAAUAUUAAAAAUAGGUAAUUCAGGAAGUCAUAGAAUUAAUAAUUUUCAUGAAUUUAUAUUUUUCAUAUUAAUAAAUUUGUUAAAAAAUACUAUUCAUAAAAUUAAUGGAAAUAUUCAAGACAUCAUCUAGAUAGCUAUAACAAAAUAUAAAAAUAUAUUUUAUUAAUAUAUUUUUCUAAAAAUAUAAUUAUAAAUUAAAAUAUUGUUUUGAUUUAUAAAUUUUUAAAAUUUAUAGCAUUUUUGCAAUACCUAAUUUUUAAUUGUAGACAUAUACAAUUUAGUAGUGUAAAAUGAAUAAUAUAGUAUCUAUAAGGAGUAAAAAUUCAUACGCGGGAGAUAUAUUUAGAUUAAAAAAAUAUAUUUCUUAAAAGUAUCCAAAUUACGAUAAAAUUAAUCUGAAAUAAUAUACAUAAUUAAUUUUAAAUUUGAAAGUUUUUAAGUCAAAAAUUCGUUAAAUAAUAAUAUUAAAGAUAAUUAAUAUUCUUUUAUCAAUUUUAAGAAUUUAAUUAAGAUAUAACUAAUAAAAAAAUUUAUAUAUAAAGAAAUAAAAAUUAUAAAAAAAUUUAUAUAUAAAGAAAUAAAAAUUAUAAAAAAAUUACAUCUGUUACCACCAUCAGCGACCAAUUUCCGUAGCAAACCGAUGACGUGGAACUUUCGGCUACGGCAUUUGGUCGCUAAUAGUCUUUGUCGCAGAUGUGGGAUGCCACAAUUAUUUUCCCAAAAAUAUACAGCGACGACUUUUAGCAACCAACAGCGGUCGCUGAUACUAUGCUGAUGUGGCACCUUUAGCUUCCGCUGUCGGUCGCUACUAUGAUGUCGUCGUUAAUAUAUUUCGCGCCUAAUUUUUCGCCAAUUUUUCUGGGGGUGAACGAUUUUACGGAGACGAAUUAGCAACGGAAAUCGGUCGCUGAUGAGGUAUCAGCGACGAACGCAUCUCACGUCGCUGAAGGCGGUCGCUAUUGCUCAAAAUUAACGACCGACUUGCGGUCGCUAAUAAUUUUGAUCGCUGGUAGCUGUUUUUCUUGUAGUGUUUGUAAAUUACUUUGAAAACUAAGGUCAAAAUUGUCAAAAGACACCUUUAGGCUUUAUACAUACAUGCAUCCAGAUUCGACUGGAUUCACGCUGACUUUGGUUGACUAAGUCAUUUCUUGGUAAUUGAAAGUUGAAACAAAGGUCUACAUAUGUGGUGGUGGCUCUGUUUUGAGAGCACAUGCAAUGUUUUAGCCUUCGAGAAAAUAAUUACUCCCACCGUCCCAUUUUAUGUGACUAAAGAAUAAACUUACAAUACUUAUUAUUUUUGAACACUAUUUUUUAUUAUUACACCCACUACCUCUAUAUUUUAUACUUUCUUUUUAUUAAAUAAACAUUAUUUGUCUAUUACACCCACUACUUUCUUCCACUAUCUCAAAUCUAUUAUUAAAUAUUGAUGGAUCCCACCACUUUACCCACUUUUCAACUACAUUUUGUAUUCACUGUUCAGAGUUCACUGCAGUUGUAGACUUGUAGUUAUGUCAUGAUAAGGAACGCCUUCGACUGAGAUGAGUUUAAAAUUAUGAAUUAUGAUAAGUUGGAAAGUUAAAAGAUAAAUUUAGAUAAUUUUAGUUUAUUAAUAAUAUAUGAGUAAUUACAAAUAUAAUAAUUAAAAAAUAAAAAUAAUUUCUGAGAAAAUAUUGAUUUAUGAAUAAUAUUUAUAAAAAAAUUAAAUUAACACGCUGAAAAAAAUAUCUCAAACGAACUCCUGAAUUUAUUUCUCAUCUUAAAUCAAUUUCUAUCUUAUUAUACAAACAAAUAUUUUCAAAUUAAAGUUAUGAAUAAUUUUAAGUGGAUAAUUGUUCAAGAUUAUUGUGGAUAAGUAGCUUUGCAGUAUCAAUCAUUGUUUUCUUUUUUUUUCGCAUUAUCUGAUUAUUAAAACAAAACAAUUGAAUUACAUGGAAGUUUGAUAACAAGAAAGAAAGCAUACUUAAACAAGAUGUUUUUGAAUGAGUACAAUCAGAACAAUUAUUCGUAGUACCAUAAAAGCACAUGAAGCUCGUCCACAACAAAUAAAUAUUGUUAGAUCAAGCUGGUGCUAAGAUCCUACCUGAUACUUCUUUUAUUAUACGACACGAACCUACUUAAUAAAAUAUAAAUGGAUCAAACUGAUGGAGAUCCCAACAUAGAUUAUACUUGAUCUGGAGCGAUCGGGGACAAGACCGCUUAAGUAAUUAUAGGUGUGCGAACAACAAUUCCGUCCUUGUUAACCCAAACCCAAACACGGUCGCACCUGAAGUCUCUUGUGGUUGGAGUUCCCUCCAACAACACAAUGGCAUUCACGUUCGGAUUCUCCUUCUCCACUUUUGCUGCUGCUGCUUGUCCGUCUUUUCCCACCAGUUCCGGCCAUGAACUCUUACCU